rnacentral:rRNA from 1 species
GAUGAACGCUGGCGGCGUGCUUAACACAUGCAAGUCGAACGAAGCAUUUGCGACAGAUUUUUUCGGAAUGAAGUUGCUUAUGACUGAGUGGCGGACGGGUGAGUAACGCGUGGGUAACCUGCCUUGUACUGGGGGAUAGCAGCUGGAAACGGCUGGUAAUACCGCAUAAGCGCACAAUGUUGCAUGACAUGGUGUGAAAAACUCCGGUGGUAUAAGAUGGACCCGCGUCUGAUUAGCUAGUUGGUGAGAUAACAGCCCACCAAGGCGACGAUCAGUAGCCGACCUGAGAGGGUGACCGGCCACAUUGGGACUGAGACACGGCCCAGACUCCUACGGGAAGCAGCAGUGGGGAAUAUUGCACAAUGGAGGAAACUCUGAUGCAGCGACGCCGCGUGAGUGAAGAAGUAAUUCGUUAUGUAAAGCCCUAUCAGCAGGGAAGAUAGUGACGGUACCUGACUAAGAAGCUCCGGCUAAAUACGUG